rnacentral:rRNA from 1 species
GUGGGGAAUUUUGGACAAUGGGCGCAAGCCUGAUCCAGCAAUGCCGCGUGCAGGAAGAAGGCCUUCGGGUUGUAAACUGCUUUUGUCAGGGAAGAAAUCUUCUGGGCUAAUACCCCGGGAGGAUGACGGUACCUGAAGAAUAAGCACCGGCUAACUACGUGCCAGCAGCCGCGGUAAUACGUAGGGUGCGAGCGUUACUCGGAAUUACUGGGCGUAAAGCGUGCGCAGGCGGCUUUGCAAGACAGAUGUGAAAGCCCCGGGCUCAACCUGGGAACUGCAUUGUGACUGUAAGGCUAGAGUACGGCAGAGGGGGAUGGAAUUCCGCGUGUAGCAGUGAAAUGCGUAGAUAUGCGGAGGAACACCAAUGGCGAAGGCAAUCCCCUGGGCCUGUACUGACGCUCAUGCACGAAAGCGUGGGGAGCAAACAGGAUUAGAAACCCCAGUAGUCC